CGGGGUUCGCGAUCGAAAGGGACAGUCCCCACUAACUGAGGAGGCCCCUUGGGCAAGAGAGAGGCCUCAUUCUCUUAUUUUCUCUCUUUCUCGCUGCUUCUCGUUCUCUUUUUGACGUUGGGGAGGAGGAAGAUGAAAUGGUUCGCUUGCUGGAGAAGAUGUCACAUUUAUCCCAUGGCAGGAAUUGAGACUGGGCAUGUAGGUCUAGCUUCUUCAUUUUGCCUUCUGGUCUGAUAUGGCAAACUCAUGCAGUUAUGAAGAGAUAUAUUCGAGUCCAUUCAAAAGGCUGCGGAGGUGGUACGACACGAGCAUCUGCAAUUCUGUUGACCCUGUGUUGCUAAGCAAUCUAUUAAUUGGUACAGAUGAUGGGGAGUAUGGUAGUGUUACAAAAGAUAUGAAUGAGCUUUCUGCUUGUGCUAUGAAGUUUAAAGACAGUCUAAGCUUAGCUCGCCAUUCAGCUUCCGUUCAUAGCACUCCUAGCCCUAGUAAAUUGGUGACAUCUCAAAAGCAAUUAGGUAUUCCUGUAGUGGUUCUCGAUUCUGAUGAAGAGGAAGGUUGUGAAAAUGUCAACAAAAUUAGGAGCAACUCGGUGUCUGAGCACAAACCCUAUAUGCCAGAUGUUCAACGUGUUGCUUCACUACAUGAAAAAUUUGAAUCACUAUUUCAACACAAUUUCAAUGAGUUUGGAAGUAAUCAAUGCAUCUCAAAUCCUGUAUCUGUUGAUGGGUGGAAAAGUGCCAAUAAUCUUGAAGCUCACGAAUUGGGGGUUUCCCUAGGCAACCUCGAGGGAAAGGUUAGAGAUGAAGCACUGAAAGCUUCAAAGGUUCAUACCGACACGCAAAAUGAUACCUUACUAAAGUUAGAUAAUGGUUUCAAAAGGGACAUUGUCCUCCAAGCUGAGCUUUUGGAAAAUCAUCAAAAUGACGUUGAAGAUAAUGAUAAUGCAGACAUUUGGAAUGAUAUGGACAUGGCAUUAGGAUCCUCAGUGACUUCUGUUCCUGAUGGUGGUCAAGUCCCUGAUAAUGGAGGGAAGACAUGUGAGCAUUCUCUUGUUAUGGAAGAUGAUUUGGGUCUAUAUUGCAAGUCAUGUGGAGUGGUUCUAAAAAGUAUUGAUAUGAUUUUUGAAUAUCAAUGGAAAAAGGUUUCAAAGAGUACAAAAACCUCCUCAUUCAGCUCUCAAUAUGUCUUUUCUACUUCAGAAGAACUUGACAAAAGGGAAUCGGAUCUGCUAUCCAAUCCUUCCAACUCUAUAGAGGAUCUCAGCCUGGCUGAACUUCCGAUACAUCCAAGGCAUGCCAAACAAAUGAGGGCACAUCAACUGGAGGGGUUCAGUUUCCUGCAGAAGAACCUACUGAUAGAUAAACCAGGAGGCUGUAUUCUUGCUCAUGCACCUGGUUCAGGGAAAACAAUGUUGGUCAUAAGUUUCAUCCAAAGUUUUUUGACAAAGUAUCCAAAUGCCAGGCCACUAAUUGUCCUGCCUAAAGGGAUCAUAGAGACAUGGAGAAAGGAAUUUCAAAAGUGGAGGAUUGAAGACAUACCCUUGUGUUCCUUGUACAAGGCUGAGAGUCGUUCUCGGCAGUUGCAUAUUUUGAAAAACUGGAAAGAUCAAAGGAGCAUCCUACUUUCAGGAUACAAACAAUUUUCAAGCAUCAUUUGUGAUGCGGACCCAAACAAACUUACAGCUGCCUGCCAGGAGAUACUCUUGAAAGUUCCUGGCCUGCUUAUUCUGGAUGAGGGACAUACUCCAAGGAAUGAGGAUACAGAUGUACUGCAUUCCCUUGCUAAAGUUCUAACACCACGCAAAGUGGUUCUUUCAGGCACUUUGUUUCAGAACCAUGUCAAGGAAGUGUUCAACAUCGUGAAACUUGUUAGACCAAAUUUUUUCAAGUUGGAGUCUUCUCGUGCUGUUGUACGACAUAUCUCAAGCAGGAUAAAGAUGGUAUUUGGUGGUAAAAGGAUUCAUAAGACUCAGACAGAGAGAUCAUUCUCUGACUUGGUCGAAGAGGCACUGCAGAGUGAUGACCCUAAACUGAAAGCCACUGUAAUACAAGAACUGAGAAAGCUUACUAAUGAUAUGCUUCACUAUUACAGGGGAGACUUUUUGGAUGAGCUUCCUGGGCUACUAGAUUUCACAGUAAUUUUAAAUUUAUCUCAAAAGCAAAAAGUAUCAGUUCAAGAGAUGGAAAAAGUGGAGGGUGGCAAGUUCAAGAGGAGUUUUUUAUCUAGUGCAAUCUACAUGCAUCCAUGUUUGAAAGAAGUCCAAAAUGCUGAUGUCAAAAAAAUUGAUGAACUUAUAAAGAAGAUGGAUGUGAAUGAUGGGAUUAAGACAAAGUUUUUCCUGAAUAUACUCUCUCUAACUGAAAAGUUUGGAGAAAAGCUACUAGUCUUUGGACAGUAUCUGCGUCCAUUACAAUUUUUAGAGAGGCUAGUCAUACUGAAAAAGGGUUGGAGUUUAGGGAAAGAAAUUUUUGAGAUUUCAGGCGACUCUAAGCCUGUUGAAAGAGCUAUAGCCGAAGAACAAUUCAACGAGUCACCAAACGCAAAAGUUUUGUUUGGUUCUAUUAAAGCAUGUGGUGAAGGGAUAUCUCUAGUUGGAGCUUCUCGUGUAUUAUUUUUGGAUGUCCAUUUGAAUCCUUCUGUCACACGUCAAGCAGUUGGACGUGCUUUCCGACCUGGACAGAACAAGAAGGUUUAUGUUUAUAGAAUGGUUGCUGCUGAUUCCCCGGAAGAGGAAGACCAUAUUACUUCCUUUAGAAAGGAGUUGAUAUCUAAAGUGUGGUUUGAGUGGACUGAGCAGUGCGCCCCUCAGGCAUUCCAGAUGGUUGAGAUUGACAUAUCUGAUAGUGACGAUACAUUCCUAGAAAGCCCUCUAUUGAAGCAUGAUAUUAAAACCCUAUAUAGAAGGUGAGAUACCUGAUUUUGCGGAUACAGAAAGUGUCCAAACUAUGAACUGUCAAAUCUUGCAGCAAUGGAACCUUUUUUGUUUAAGGUACAUCUUUGUUCUUAAGGUUUCCAUCCUCUGGCCACAACCCUUACAGUGCAGCUAUAAUUGGAGCAUUCAGAGCCUUGGGGGCUUUGGUGAUGCUUAAUGUUGAUAAUGCUGUCUCAUUACAGAUACAGAUUGAUGUAACUCGUUAAGUUUUCCAGUUAUUUCUGGAAUUGGUCCAACUCAGUCUCUGUCAUUCUGUGGAUUUAACUUGUUUAUGUGCUGGAAGAAAGUGAUAAGGUAAAAAAAAAUGAUUUCCUCUCAAUUGCUCGACCGUUCUUGCGUUUGAAGUGUUAAAUGAUUUGUUCAAGUCCAUGUGAUGUACCACUGCUACGACUAUCACCACAUUCAUGACCACUGGCCUUGAUACUGCUACUCCCAUUACCUUCCCCACCACUAUUAUACUACUGGUGCUCCUGUUACUACCACCACUAAUACCACCUGCUUCUACAACUACUAAUAGCACCAGUUCGUCACCACCACCGUUACUGCCACCAUGUUCUUCCAGUAACUGCAGGAUCACCAAAUCUAUUGUCUGACCAACCCACUGCAUCUAGCUUUCCUAUCACCCGAUUGCAAUUAUUACCACAAGAACCUUCAUCAGUGACUAGUUCAAUUUUGUAGAUUUGCGUCAAAGUUGCAUCUUUCUUUUUUUUGUGGGUAUAUUUAUGAUUUGGAAAAACAUUACGCCGGCGGAAACCAAUUUUCAGGUUGGUGGCAGAUAUUCUUUUUGGGCAUGCAACUUGCAGCUUCUCUUCAUGUGAAUCUGACAUGUGCUGUUAAUUUUGUCUUUCAUAUUUCAAAUUCUGGGGGAACCUACCCAUACUCACUGUAAGCUUUGUUGGACUCAUAUUCCGUUUCAGCUAUUGUACUUUAAGCUAUGUGGUCAUUUCACGCAUGGGUAUGCAAUGUUUUCGGUCUUGUUUCCAAAUUAAUGUUUAAGUACUUUCCUAAAUAUACAUUUUCUGCAGCUAUUUUACCUCAAGGCGCUUUGAGGAAUCUUCUCCAUGCAUGAAGACAAAUGAUGGACCAGAUCUUUGUUGCUGGAUAAGAAACAUCUUGUGAAUUUUAGCAAAAGAAAGGCCGGAACCAAGUCAAUACACUAAAAAAGUUGGGUUCGGAGGGGGAGGGAGCAUGAGUGGAAGCACGCUAUUUAUCAGAUGGAUCCAAUAAACUCCACCAAUUUAACUGGGUUCGCUUGAGCCCUUUUCGUCUGUCCAUGUACAAUUCUUCUAUGCUGGAACAUGGUGCAUGAGUUCGGUGCAGUACACGCUUAUUGGCAAGGCCAGGCACAUGCACCAGUUAUGGGAUCGAGACCACUUGUAACCCUUAACCCUCUCUAGGUGGAUUGUUGAAGCCUCCACCAUGGUUGGGCCGUGCCCGCCCGUCAUCUCCUGGCGUCACACAACUUAUAACCAACAGCCUAUGACCACUAAAUGCAGCAGAAAUCUUUCACAGCGGAUAUUCCUAUCUGACUGGCCGAUUUUGCCCUGAAUCUGGUGUUGGCGUGGUGGCUGCUUUCAUCCUUCUGUCAUGUCAGAACCCCUUUCUAUCUUGAGCACGAUGCCGUUUUUUCUUCUGAUCGACUGAUUGCACCUGAUUAGGUGGGGAUUUUUAGGAGGAGUUUGGUAUUAGUAACACUGCGAUUUUUAAAAUGCAAUAUUUUGUGCAUGUGUCAAAAUACAAUAUUUCAUGAAUGUAGCCCAAUCUUGGUGAUACAUGCAUAGAAU